rnacentral:misc_RNA from 1 species
GGAUACGAAUUCUGCUGAAGGAUCAGAUUACUACGAGCCGAUCUCGGCCAUUGAUGGUGAAGAAUCCGAUGAAGCUGGAUCAGAGGACGAAACCUACAGCUCCGAUCCUCAUUUCUACCAUAUACCUAACGGAUGCCGUUUAGAGAAUGCAGUUUCCUCUCUUAGCUUGAACGACGAUGUGGAGAGAAGGUGUAGUGAUGACGAAGAGGAGGAGAGGAUGAGAGAGGCUUCUGAUUCGGCGAUAAGAAUGGCGUUUAGAGAGGAUGAGAGUCGGCGGAAUGCUCCGCUGUCGCCGGAGAAUGCAACGAGGAUCAUGGAGGCCAUGCGCGGCAUCUCGUUUGGCGGCUCUGCUCCAGAUUGGACUCGAA